AUAGGUUCCGCUUUUUGAGGGCUUGCAAGUGAGAAUAGGGGAGAACCGGGGGAAAAUCCCGGACGAACCGCCGCUGUGAAGAGGAAUGACUGGAGAUACUGCUCCCUACGGGAAUAGGGGCUAAGGCGUGGUCUCCGAAUCAGGAGACCUACCUGAAGAGGUUAGACUCU
rnacentral:ncRNA from 2 species